rnacentral:lncRNA from 1 species
AUGCAGGAGGGGCUGCUCCCGCCGGAGAUAAGCCAGCGCUGCAGCCCAAGAAAUCACUCCCCGGCGCGGGCGAUGUGGCGCGGAGAGUUCAAGGAUCGUGCGCACAGCCCGGGCGCGGGCCAGCACGCCAAGGAGCGCCGGCUUGGCAGGGCCGCGAGCAAACAGGAGCUCCCCGCGGGACGCGGCGCGCUGGCCAAGGAGCCUGUUUACGCUCCGGGUGACCCAGAUUCCUGCCCGCUGCUCCGGCCCCACCAGGGCCCCUCGGCAGCCCCCAGGGAUUGGCCGGGAGCCCGGGGACAAGGUUUAUACCCGCAGGGAUCCGGCCUGCUGAACCCGAACCCCUCGCCCUUCUUCCUCCGCUGUUGUGGGCCCCUGCCCCUUCCUUCCCCAAGCCCCCGAGCCCCUCACUGCUCACAUCCCCCCGGUUCCCGGCAUGUCCCCGUGCAGAGGGCCUGGAGCCGCGACCAGGGGCUGCUGCGUGCCCACGCCAGCGUCGCCAGGGACCUGGGCAGUGAGGCAAAGGCUCAGCCCCGAGCAAACAGCCAGCCUGGACACAGCACCCCGGCACAGCCACCCCAAAAUUCCUUCUUGGUGCCCAGCUGCUCGGCAGCCAGAGCGAGCGCUGCCUGCUUGGUGCGAGGGCCGAGCCCGAGGGAAGGAGCCCGGUGGGGCCUGGGGACAGAGCAGGGCACAGCCCCCAGACAGCGCUGCGGAGGAGCACCAAGCACCAGGAGGGGCUGCUUAAUGCCACGGGGAAGCCGCCUGCGGAGGAGCGAUGCUCCCUGCUCUGGGGCAGCACGGGCUCUGCAGCCCCAAGCCCAGCCGAGUGGCCGGGCACCGCAUCCCCAUCCCGGCGGCUGCCCCCUGCUCUCCUCCCCUGCCCGCGGCUUCGGUCUACUCCUGCUCCAGGCCUUGCCCCGGCUUGGGAAGGAGGCGCCUGGCACCGUGGCUUUGACCCCCAGCCCUGCCCUUCCCCGCUCGCAGGGGAUGGAGAGGGGUGCGGCACACAGGGGGCCAACGCCGCAUCCCGCUGAAGCGCUCCCACCCUGCAGGCUCCCGGGGCAGCCUGGGGAUCAGGAUGGGCACCUCGAGGCACAACUGGGGAGCAAAGGAAGCAGCAGCGAUGCCAGCACCACGACAGCUGCUGGCAAAGCCAGGGUGAACAGCACCCGGCUGCACCAGCCGAGGGAGGGAAGCGCUGCAGAGGGGGCCUGGCUGCCCGCGGGUGCUGGGGAAGCGCCGCUGGGAGCUCUGGGCCCGGUGUGUGUUCGUGCUGCAGGCUCCAGCUCUGCUCCCGGAGCCCCCUCCCCGGGCAGGGCCCCGCAGCGAAGCCCCCGUCACCGUCACCGCGCAGGAAUCAUCCGCAGGAUGAGUCAGCCGGGGCGCAGCGCUGCUCGGCGCCUUCGCGGGAGGCCCUAUCGCUGCAGUGGGGGCAGGGAGAUAAGCCAAGGAUUUCAGGAAAACAUCUCCAACCCAGGCUGCGGCUGCGCCUCCGCCAUGCCCCGGCGCCCCUGCGGCCCCUGCCAGGAAGGCGCAGGCGAGGCCGGGAGCGAGGCAGCCCCG